GGGUGAUUAGCUCAGCUGGUAGAGCGCCUGCCUUACAAGCAGGAUGUCGGCGGUUCGAACCCCGUCAUCGCCC
rnacentral:tRNA from 1 species